UUCAUUGCCUAGGCUGCACGUGUUCAUAAAUAGAAGCAUCCAGGAAAAAAUGGCAGGGCUGCUUUAAUACACACAUGUGAAGGAGACCUAGUAUUUCAAGCAGCUACCUAGAAUUUAAUAUCAAGGAAUUUGCCUGUCAAAUAUUACUUUAUUUAAAGGAAUGUGAUAUUACUUGAUACAGUCAUAAAGUGCAUUCCGAUCAAAAUACAGCUGUAAUAAACAUUACUAACAACUGGCUUAUCCCAGCGUGUUUUAUCAAAACCACAACGAAGGGCACAUUUGAAAUGCGUGUCCCUGGCUAAUUUUCAGAAGCCUCUCUCCCACCAAGAGUUCAUUCGAUAAUUUCACCAGGGUUUUUUCCAAGGUAGAAUGAGGAGUUUAAAAUGCUUGAAAGAGAGUCAUCUCGAGGUCACCUAUAAUUAAAUAGGAGCUGAAGGGACAGAAUACAGAAAUGUGUAAUCUUCCCUGGCUCUGAAAUAAAAACAGAUUAUCAGCAAGAAAGUGCUUCUGCAGGGAGACCUGAUCGCAACCUACAGUAGGAUUCCUUUCAAGACUGGAUGUCUAUUUCAAAAUACCCAUUAAAAUCCAUGAUGGACUUAAUUAUGAGAAGCAGAUAAUAAGAGUCUAGUUCAUUCCCUCCCGUUGUCCAGGGUGGUUUAGAGCUGCCAAUCAUCUUCCCCUUCAAAGAGGCCCAAGAUGCAGAUACCACUUGCAGGAGGAUAGCUGGACUGUAAGGGAGGGGCUCUUCUCCCGUAAGUGGUGCUGACAGAAGCAGAGGACUUCAAAGUUCACAGAAGGGACUGCUUGCUAAAAGCAGAGACAGUUUUUUCCAUUAUGCCAAUACAUGGUGUUUGAACCAAGAAACUCCCUUAUCCCUGCUUCUCAUUUCCUAGCCUCUGAGGUCCCUCCUUCCACCUUCACUUACCUCCACACUAUUUGAGGGUGAUUUGACAUGAAGCCCCAUGAGUUUACUGGUGGCCUUAACCUACACACACACACACACACACACACACACACACUCGGUAAAGAACAGCAGAGGAAAGAGCCCUUCUCCAUACAAGCAGCACCAGCUCUAUAGUCAGACCCAAAUUUGAAUCCUGACUCCCUCACUUUUUGCUGUGUGGUCUUAGGCAAGUUACCUAACCCCUCAGAGCCUCCAUUUUUCUAUCUGUAAACUGGAGACAAGAACACCUGCCACCUAAAUUUCAUAUGAGAGCCCUGGCUCCUAAUAGGACACCUUACUUAUAAUAUCAUUCCCUCAGUAGGAAAGCCUGAGCCUUGCAGCUGGUAUUCGUGUGCCUCCAUUGUUUCCCACAGAACAACUCUCUCUGCCCAGGAGAACAACUUAUCGGAGAGGCCAGCUGACGGAGAAAAACGUUAAAUAAUUCAGAAGCACUAACAUCAAGGCUGAUGGCCACUCUGGCUGCUGUGUUGAGAACAAACUGCAAGGGGUAACGGGAAGAGCAGGGAGCCCAGUGAGGGAAGCUACUGAAAUCAUCCAGGUGAGAGAGAAGGGGGCUUACCAGGGCUGUAGAUGUGCCAAUGGUGAGAAGUGCUCAGGUUCUGGAAAUAUUUUUAUUAUAAGCCUAAAAUUUAAGAUACAUUGUCUGAGCACCUUUCUUCUUCCUUUCCUUCUUUCCUUAAAAACACAGACACCUUCACAGAUCCAGAAAGCAAAAUGUGCUCUAGGUCCACCCUAGUGGUCUCAUGGCCAUCUCACCCAGUGUGGCACAGUUCAACACAAACUAGCCGAGAGCUGGGGAACACGUGGGAGACGUCUGCUCUGAGCAUCUCCAGUGACACCCUGGUACUCCUGGCGAGUGACAUGUCCCCACAUAAGAUGGGGAUGAAGGUCCAUAUCUUCCCUGACCUAACUUCUACCAGACCGGAGGGAACUUGACAAAAUCCUUCCUCAGGGCCAUUCAGCAACACAUAUGAAAAGCCCUAUAAAGCUGCUUAAUCUUUAUUCUAGCAAUUUCGAGUCAAAAAAUUGGGCUGAAGGGAAUAAAUAGACAUGUAAUAAAAAUGUUGGUCUCAGCAUUACUUACAGUGGUGAAAAUGUGAAAAUAAUAUGAAAUCGGUUAAAUAAAUAAUGAUAUAUCCUUAUGAUGGAAUACUACAUACCUAUUAAAACUCACAUGGGAGAGAAAAUGUAAUGGCAUGGAGAAAUGAUCAUGACCUGCUAAGGUUACAAAACCAUGUGUACCAUCUACUUCGAAUGGUGGGGGGAGGUGACGGCAGGGGGGCAAAUAGAACUCUAUGUGUCAACAGCACUAGAGUGGAAUCCAAAACGGUGGGAGGAACUGCCUCUACAUGGCAGGCCUGUGGGUUGUCUUCGUUCGUUUUCUGGGUUAUCUUAGGUGUUCUAAAUUUUCUACUAUUUGUACGUAUUAUGGUAUAAUUAAAAAAACCUUAAAUAAAAACAUAAUAAAUUUUAUAAAACUUUCAAAAUAAUACUUAUCCUAGUAGUGAACAUCUUUACCUAUUCUAGUGUUCCAUGAGGCUUAAGGAGCUUGAGGACAGGAAGCGGCCUGGAGAAGGCAGUGGAAGACCAGGAACGGGCAUUUUCCUGUGGCACUAUGAUAGUGGCCCCUGUGCACUGUGUCUGCCAUCCCGCUGCCACUGCCGCCACUGAGACCGCCGCUGUACUGACAAGCAGGUGCACAGAACUGACCGACUUCUUCUGCUCUCUGACACUCCACAUCUGGUACUCCUGACCUUGGGGAGCCGAGAAGGAGGAGAAAAACGGAAGCAGGAAGGAAGAUCAAGGUUGUAGAAGCUUCGGGCCUUGAAUCAGUAGCAUGAGCCUCUCCUGGGAGCUUGUUAGAAAUGCAGAAUCUCCAGCCCACCCUUCCACCCACUGAAUCAGAACCUUCAUGUUAACAAGUGCCCAGGCCGUGCCUAGGCACAUUAAGUUUAAAAAGCCUUCUCUAAAACAUAACACUUUUCCCUGAGAUCAACGUUUUUAUGUACUUGUCUAUUUAUUUCCUUUAGCCCACUUUUUUGCAAUGAACUUUAGGUGAGCUAAAAAAAAAAAAAAAAGCAACCAACCAAGUAGGUUUUCUCAAGUACAUAAUAAUUACAUAAAAGAUGUAAAGUCACCCUAACCAUCCAGAAGGGCACAGCCUCCAGGCCCUUGGGCAGUGCCACGUCUCUGGCAUCCACCCUGGAGAACUGCUGCCAUCUGAUAGGCCUUUUGUAGUAAACACCAGAGAUCAGGCAGGCCUCCUCUACGUGGGAAUCCUGAGCCUCCCGAGCCUUGCAGGGUGGGUGGAGAGUUGUGCACAAAUGGUUAAUAGGGCUCUGCCCAGAAGUGAACAUUUAGAAAGUAAAACCAAGUCCAAGGACUAUCGCAGCAUCGUUAGGCAAGGGACAGGCCUUUUCCAGCACUUGCAAUGUGACUGUGUUGGAAUGAGGAGGGGCAGGCUGAGUGAGAGGGCCCCUUCCCUGACCCAGAUGCUUGUUUGCCAGAAGACAGGGAAGGGGUGGGAAAGGAGCCUUGACUACUGUAUUCAUAGUCCCAUGGUUCAAAUAAAUUAGGUUACCUACCUCAUUCAUAAAUUACUCAAUAUGGGAUCCCUUUAUGCUUCUUUGAAGUAGGGAGGGAACAAAUAUUUAAUGAGGCUCUACUCGUAUGCACCAUUUCUCAGUCCUCGCUGCACCGUAGCAUCAUCACCUGUGGAGCUUUUCAGAGCUCCAACGCCUGGUUCUGUUCUGGUCACUGCUGAGAGCUCCCAGGUGAUUCUAAUGCGUAGCCAGGGUUGGGAUCCAUUGUGUUGGGCACUGUGCUGGAAUUCAAAAUGGAGCACCUAACAGCAGCCCAGAGAAGCAGGUAGAGAAUAUGAAGACCAAGCUGGUGCAGAAUGGCAAAGGGACAGACAGAGCUGGAAUCAGAACCAGGAUCUGCUCGUCUAAAUCUAGAGCCCUUUGGUUUUUCUCAGGGAUACCAGAGGUCCUCUCAGACCUGGAAGGGGCUCCUUUAAGACCCUCAAAGCACCCCCUCCACACUUAUGUCCACCACUGAAUUGUCUUGAUAGUUCAGUUAGGGCUCUGGAAGCAAGAAUCAGAGGAAAGGAGCUGAGUGAGUGAAGAGACAGCAGGAAAAAUAGCAAUGCCAAGAGCUACCAACACAUAGAAGACACUGCCUUUUAGGUAAUGUGCAAGUUACUUCACAAAUCCCACACAACCUUUUGAGGCAGAUAUUUCUAGGUUCCAUUUUAUAAAUGGAAAAAAAUGAUGGAAGCUCCAAAAAUCUAAAUAACUUGCUUGAAUUCAUGCAGCUACCAGGUGACAGUGACAAAGCAGAGAAUUCAACCAAAAUUCUGGUGGCAUUUUCCACUAACAUGGCCUUAGAAGCCAUUUGCAUCUUUAAUUACCUGUACGUGCCAGAUGUCCUACUGAAGCGAACACUUAAUCCUUGUGUGUGAGAUGGGAUCUACUGCCUUCUGAGUCUACAGAUGAGGACACAGAGACCCAGAAGGGCCGCCCAAGGUUACACGGCAAGGAGAUCAGGGUCAGGGUCUGAGCCCUGCCCUUUCAGGCUCCCCAUACUCCAUGCUGCUCGGUCCGAAUGACCUCAGAGUGCACGUAGAAAACUGACGUAAGUGGCCUAAAGAUGAAUUAAGGUUUGACCUUAGGAAGUACAUCCUGGCCUUGAAGAUAGACAAGGACUAGGCUGGAUAAG